rnacentral:lncRNA from 1 species
GUUAUUUUCUGUGUCAGUUUGUUGAAUUAUUUAUUCAGUUAAUCUUUAUAUUACACUCUACCUACCAUAUACAGGAAAUUAUAGUUAUCCAAUGUUGAGCAACAACAGGUCCAAUCUCAGGUCACAUGGGGCUUUGGAUGAAGAUUGAAGAUAACAUAAAAUGAGGCUGAAAUGACAAACAGGGUUAAAAUCAUACAAGAAUUUAAAGGCCAAGUUAAAUAUAUCUGUCUUUAUUUCAAUAGCAGCAAGAAAGUCUUGAAUAAGUUUAGCAAGGGAAUACAUCACGCACAUGGGAAAGAGAAGACAAAAUGAAAUUGGUGUUUGUUGUUAAAACAUUUUUUUCUGAGGAAGAUCAUAUGUCAUAUAUCUCAGACAUUUUCUUCACUGUAAAUAAAUUGCACUAGAAAUAUAACUAGCAUUCUUAAAAUGCAUUUUUAGCAAUUUGUUAAAGUAUAGCAUACACAUAGAAAAAUACAUAAAAAUAUCACAUCAAUGAAUUAUCACAGUAAAGCACAUCUAUGUAAUAAACAUAAAAAAAAUAGGUUGCUACCAACAUCCAAAAUAGCCCUUCAGCCUUCUUCAGAACCAAAAUAUCUUCCCUCUUCUACAAAGGUAGCUAGUAUACUGGCUUCUAAAAUUAUAGCAUAGUUUUGUCUUUUUUAAAAGCUUUUGAGCUUUAUAUCAAUGGAAAUGUAAGUAUGUAUUAUUUGUGUCUAGCUUCUUUUGAUCAUUGUGAUCAAAAGAAUUGAUCACAAUUCUUUUCAUUCAUUUAUGUCCUUUUCAUUCAUUUAUAUUGUUACAUGUAAUUAUUUAUUAUACUUUCUGUAUAUUUUUCCAUGAAAUAAAUAUACCAAAAUUUAUGUAUAAAUUUUACUGUUGGACGUUUGGAAUGUUUACAGUUUGAGCUGCAUAGUUUUGCAAUGAAUGUUCUUUAACAUAUAUGUUAGUUUGUAUAAUCAUAAAUCUUUUUGGGGUAUAUACAUAAAAAUAAAAUAGAAUGGUCAUUGGCUAUGCAUGCAUUUUAAUUUGGUAGAUAAUGAUGAACAGUUUUCCAAAGUGGUUAUGUAAAUGCAUACAUCCACUGUUCAUACAUUAGAGUUUCAGUUGCUUUACAUCUUUGCUUAUAUUGCUAUUAUUUUUUAAUUUGCCAUUCAAUCAAGAGGGUCAAUCCACUGGAAAAAAUGUAACAGUUUUAACAUGUAUCUCCCAAAUAACAGAGUUUCCAAAUAUACAGCCAUAUUUUAUAGAAUCAAAAUGAAAAUAGAUAAAUCCAUCAUCACGGUGGGAAAUUUUAAAACAGCACACUCAGUAACUGAUAAAACAAGAAAAUAAUAAAAACAUUUCAUCUCCAGAUGAUUCAAUUAACAGAAUUUACAAAAAAAAACACAAAUUAUCAGAAUUGACACAAGAUAAAAUAAAAAUAUAUAAAUAGCACUGUAUCUAUUAAAGUCAGUAAAUUGGCAAAUAAAUGUUUCCCCACAAAAUAUCUUUAGUGCCAGAUGUAUUCACUUCUGAAUUUUUCCAAACUUUUAAUAAAAUGUGACACUAAUUGUACACAACUUUCUUGGAGAAACAAAAAAGGGGAGAAGGAAAGAGAGAGAGGUUGGAUAUAGAGAGUAAUGGGGUCACUGUAAUUUUGUGAAUAACAAAUAACAGGAAAGGAAACUUAGGGGUAAUCACGUUCAUAAACAUAAAUUCAAUAAUUCUAAAAAAUAACAAAUAGAAUCCAGUGAUUUUUUAAAGGUACAAUACAUCAUUAACAAGUUGGUAUUAUUUUCUCAUGCAGGGCAGACCACAUUUUAACAACAAUUACCUUCUUUUAUCACAUUAAGAUAAUAAAGUAGUAAGUCAUCUUCAUAGAUGCAAUGCAGAAUAAGGAUUUGAGAAAAUUUCACCAUCAUCAAUGUAAAAAAAAAACUAUGGUAAGCAAGGAAUAUAAGGAAUUUCUUUUAUCUGACAAAUGGUAUAUAUUUAAAAUCUACAGCAAAUAUAAAAUUUAAUUAGUAAAAUACGACAUUUCCCUAUUUCCCCUCUCAUGAUUAAAAAUGACAUAAAAAUGCCCAUUAUUCUCUCAAUUCAAACCUAUACUGGAUAUCUUAUCCAGUGUACUAUGAAAAAAUAAAGCUCAUUAUUUGUAGACAACAUGAAUAUGAACAUAAGAAAUUAGAAAU